rnacentral:rRNA from 1 species
AACGUAGGGGGCUAGCGUUGCCCGGAUUCACUGGGCGUAAAGCGGGUGUAGGCGGUUCUUUAAGUCGGAUGUGAAAUCCAGCGGCCCAACCGCUGAAUUGCAUCCGAUACUGGGGAACUUGAGGACGGUAGAGGUCGGUGGAAUAUCCGGUGUACCGGUGAAAUGGACAGAUAUCGGAUGGAACACCAGUGGCGAAGGCGGCCGAACUGGGCCGAUCCUGGACGCUGAGACCCGAAAGCUAGGGUAGC